rnacentral:sRNA from 1 species
GCUGGGCAUGGUGGCACAGGCCUGUAAUCUCAGCAGCUCUGGAGGCUGAGGCAGGAGGAUUUUGAGUUCAAAGCCAGUCUCAGCAAAAGUGAGGUGCUAAACAACUAAGUGAGAUCCUGUCUCUA